CUGCGGCAGCGACGUUUAUGCGUUGUUGGGUAGGGGAGCGUUCUGUAAGCCUGUGAAGGUGGCCUGUGAGGGUUGCUGGAGGUAUCAGAAGUGCGAAUGCUGACAUAAGUAACGAUAAAGCGGGUGAAAAGCCCGCUCGCCGGAAGACCAAGGGUUCCUGUCCAACGUUAAUCGGGGCAGGGUGAGUCGACCCCUAAGGCGAGGCCGAAAGGCGUAGUCGAUGGGAAACGGGUUAAUAUUCCCGUACUUGGUGUUACUGCGAAGGGGGGACGGAGAAGGCUAUGUUGGCCGGGCGACGGUUGUCCCGGUUUAAGCGUGUAGGUGUGUGUUCCAGGUAAAUCCGGUUCACUUUAACACUGAGGCGUGAUGACGAGGCACUACGGUGCUGAAGCAACAAAUGCCCUGCUUCCAGGAAAAGCCUCUAAGCAUCAGGUAACAUCAAAUCGUACCCCAAACCGACACAGGUGGUCAGGUAGAGAAUACCAAGGCGCUUGAGAGAACUCGGGUGAAGGAACUAGGCAAAAUGGUGCCGUAACUUCGGGAGAAGGCACGCUGACACGUAGGUGAAGUGAUUUACUCAUGGAGCUGAAGUCAGUCGAAGAUACCAGCUGGCUGCAACUGUUUAUUAAAAACACAGCACUGUGCAAACACGAAAGUGGACGUAUACGGUGUGACGCCUGCCCGGUGCCGGAAGGUUAAUUGAUGGGGUCAGCGCAAGCGAAGCUCCUGAUCGAAGCCCCGGUAAACGGCGGCCGUAACUAUAACGGUCCUAAGGUAGCGAAAUUCCUUGUCGGGUAAGUUCCGACCUGCACGAAUGGCGUAAUGAUGGCCAGGCUGUCUCCACCCGAGACUCAGUGAAAUUGAACUCGCUGUGAAGAUGCAGUGUACCCGCGGCAAGACGGAAAGACCCCGUGAACCUUUACUAUAGCUUGACACUGAACAUUGAGCCUUGAUGUGUAGGAUAGGUGGGAGGCUUUGAAGUGUGGACGCCAGUCUGCAUGGAGCCGACCUUGAAAUACCACCCUUUAAUGUUUGAUGUUCUAACGUGGACCCGUUACCCGGGUUGCGGACAGUGUCUGGUGGGUAGUUUGACUGGGGCGGUCUCCUCCUAAAGAGUAACGGAGGAGCACGAAGGUUGGCUAAUCCUGGUCGGACAUCAGGAGGUUAGUGCAAUGGCAUAAGCCAGCUUGACUGCGAGCGUGACGGCGCGAGCAGGUGCGAAAGCAGGUCAUAGUGAUCCGGUGGUUCUGAAUGGAAGGGCCAUCGCUCAACGGAUAAAAGGUACUCCGGGGAUAACAGGCUGAUACCGCCCAAGAGUUCAUAUCGACGGCGGUGUUUGGCACCUCGAUGUCGGCUCAUCACAUCCUGGGGCUGAAGUAGGUCCCAAGGGUAUGGCUGUUCGCCAUUUAAAGUGGUACGCGAGCUGGGUUUAGAACGUCGUGAGACAGUUCGGUCCCUAUCUGCCGUGGGCGCUGGAGAACUGAGGGGGGCUGCUCCUAGUACGAGAGGACCGGAGUGGACGCAUCACUGGUGUUCGGGUUGUCAUGCCAAUGGCACUGCCCGGUAGCUAAAUGCGGAAGAGAUAAGUGCUGAAAGCAUCUAAGCACGAAACUUGCCCCGAGAUGAGUUCUCCCUGAGACUUUAGGUCUCCUGAAGGAACGUUGAAGACGACGACGUUGAUAGGCCGGGUGUGUAAGCGCAGCGAUGCGUUGAGCUAACCGGUACUAA
rnacentral:rRNA from 1 species